rnacentral:lncRNA from 1 species
CCGGGUCACACCCUGAUCCAAGCUGGAGUGCAGUGGCCCUAUCAACUCACUGCAGCCUCGACCUCCUGGGCUCAAGGGAUCUUACUGCCUCAGCCCCACCACUAGCUGGAACUACAGGCCCAUGCCACCACACUCAGCUAAUUAGUAUUUCAUAAUCUAACAUACUGAGAGAUGACAACGUGCUAGCAGCCCUUGCUCGCUCUCAGCGCCUCCUCCGCCUCGGCGUCCGCUCUGGCCGCACUCGAGGAGGCCCUUCAGCCCGCCACUGCGCUAUGAGGGCCCCUCUCUGGGGCUGGCCGAGGCCUGAGCCGGCUCCCUCUGCUCUCGCGGAAGUGUGAAGAGAGAGGCGCUGCAAGAGCCAGGGGUGCGCGCGGCGCUCGCGGGUCGGCGCGAGUUCCAGGUGAGCGCGGGCUCGGCAAGCCCCGCACUCGGCGCGACCGGCUGGCGCCUGCUGGGUUUGAUCGGGGGGACGAGUUCCCUCUGGGCUGCCAGAGUGCCCGGGCUACGUGCCGCAAAGUCCCGCAGCGGUGAGUGCCAUUGAGAGGUGAAGCUGGCUGGGCUUCUGGGUGGGGUGGGGACUUGAGAACUUUUCUGUCUAGCUAAAGGAUUGUAAAUGCACCAAUCAGCACUCUGUGUCUGCCUAAAGGUUUGUAAACGCACCAAUCAGCACUCUGUCAAAACGGACCAAUCAGCGCUCUGUAAAGCGGACCAAUCAGCUCUCUGUAAAAUGGACCAAUCAACAGGAUGUGGGUGGGGCCAAAUAAAGGAAUAAAAGCAGGCCACCGCUAGUAGCAGCAAUCGGCUCGGUCCACUUUUAGGUAGUAGAGGUUUUGUUCUUUUGCUCUUCGCAAUAAAUCUUACUGCUGUUCAGUCUUUGGGUCUGCUGCUGUGUUUAAGCUGUAACAUUCACUGGGAAGGUCUGUAGCUUCACUCCGGGAGCCAGGGGGGCUACAAACCCACCAGAAAGAAUAAACUCCAGACACAUCUGAACAUAGGAAAGAAAAGACUCCGGACACACAGUGUGUAAGAACUGUAAUAUUCACUGUGAGGGUCCAGGGCCUCAAGACCAAGAACCCAACAAUUCCGGAUACAAUACUAUGAUAGUUAUAUAAUUAUCAUGCAACUCUUUUCUGUUCGUUUAUUUGAGACAGAGUCUCCGUCUGUUGCCAAGGCUGGAGUGCAGUGGUGCGAUCCCGGCUCACUGCAACCCCCCGCCCCCCCGGUUCAAGGGAUUCACUUGUUUCAGCCUCCCCGAGUAGCUGGGAUUAGGGGUGCACGCCACCACGCCCAGCUGCUUUUUUUUUCAGGACCUCAGGUGAUCUGCCCACCUCAGGCUCCCAAAGUGCUGGGAUUACAGUUGUGAGCCACUGCACCCAGCCACUAAUAUUAUUUUUAAUAACAGUACCUAGAUAAUUG